rnacentral:rRNA from 1 species
UGGGGAAUAUUGGACAAUGGGCGCAAGCCUGAUCCAGCCAUGCCGCGUGUGUGAAGAAGGCCUUCGGGUUGUAAAGCACUUUUGUUGGGGAAGAAAAGAUUCGGGUUAAUAACCUGGGUUCAUGACGGUACCCAAAGAAUAAGCACCGGCUAACUUCGUGCCAGCAGCCGCGGUAAUACGAAGGGUGCAAGCGUUACUCGGAAUUACUGGGCGUAAAGCGUGCGUAGGUGGUUCGUUAAGUCUGCCGUGAAAGCCCCGGGCUCAACCUGGGAAUUGCGGUGGAUACUGGCGGACUAGAGUGCGGUAGAGGGUGGUGGAAUUCCCGGUGUAGCAGUGAAAUGCGUAGAGAUCGGGAGGAACAUCUGUGGCGAAGGCGGCCACCUGGACCAGCACUGACACUGAGGCACGAAAGCGUGGGGAGCAAACA